CAGCGGUGCGCGUUGUGCAGUCACUUGUUGACCAGCAACUUAGAAAAAUAGGACAACUGAAGGAGCAGAUACAAAGAUUGGGCAGUACCGCUGGUGGAUCCAACAAAAAUCAGCUCCAAAGAGGAGUAGCAGAGGUCACCCAACCUUGGGAGAUCUCUCUAACACUGAAAAGAGUCAGUUUCUUACCAUACCCUCAGUCCAAGACGUCAAGCUUAGGGGAAGUUGAUGUUCGUGAGCAAAGUAUGACCUACCCAAUUGGUGUCUGUGGUGUCCAAGGACAAAAGUGUGCCCUGCACUCAGGGGAUACGACAUUUUCAAACAUUACCCCUCUUCAAAUUCGAAAUGAACCACAACCAAACAGAGCUGGCCAAAGGUACAGUCCAGAGGAGAACAGUAAGGCCAAAAGUGUUAACAUGCGUGUUGUCCGGAAACUCCGUCUGUCAAGCUCUACAGAGAAUGAGGACGAGCUCAAAUCCCCCACCUUAAAGUCCCCCAUACCAAGACAUCGUGGUGUAUCUGAGUCGUCCCAAGAUGAGGAAGUGGAGUCUGUGUGUUCAGACACACAGGGGCAAGAUCUUUUCCUUGCUAUCCCACCAGUCUCUAGCCAAGGUGAAUCUGAAGGGGAUGAAUCUGAUGGGAGACAAAAUGGAAAGAAGAGGCGCUCCACACUGAAGGGAAAGAGGAAGCAAAAAGCCCUCAUGUUGGUCUCAUGUGAAGAACCAUCUUGCCCUCCUGAAGAAACCGAUGAAAAAACCAAUGAUGUGGCAAAAUCUCCAAAGACUAGGAGUAAAAGUUCUCUCUCCAGACACACUCUUGUAGAUUUUCCUACUAGACAUCAUCCUCUUUCUCAACACACCCUAUCCAAGAGAAAGACCUCAAAUGAAUUCUUAGUGGACAGUGGAAGCCCUCCAUCCCCAGUGGACAGCGAGGACUCCUGUUACACCUAUACUGUGAAUACACCAGUCAAUGGAUCCCUCAACCAAGAGCACUGCCGCUCAAUGUCCAUUGCUGACCUCUCAGGUAAACUUCGCCCUUUGAUUAACAGUGAAAAAGGUGAGUGUAGAGGAAUCAGGAAGGUCAACAGAAUGCGUCUGGCCUCGCAACCUUCAACUCUUGAACAAGACCAAGGAAAUGGCACAGAAUCUGACAGGAACACCACAAGUUUUGAUGAACGACAAUCAAGAUCGCAGACUGUUACACUGGGUGUACGCUUUAACCAUGUGAGCAGAUCUCUGUCAAUGUCAGCUAUUGAAGGAGACAAAUUACAGCAGAGGGAAUCACAGCAAUACAACAAGGACAAGAAAGAGAGAGGUGCGCCAGCUUUGAGGGAACUGGAGGAAGAGGCUGGUUCAACCGCGCUUGACUCGGCUUAUCUGGUCAAACAGUUUGGAAAACAAGGAUCAGGCCGCACUGACUUUAACCUACCAAGUGGUGUCCAUGCUACUGUCAAAGGGCAGCUAUUUGUGGUGGAUUGUGGAAAUGCCCGGAUUCAGGUAACUGAUCUCCAGAAGAAUGUUGUACAGCAGGUGUCUCCAUCGGGAUCAGAAAGGUCUUCUCGCAUCUGCAACUACUUUGAUGUGGCUGUAAAUUCAAAGGGCCUCAUUGCCCUGACCUGUGCUGCUGAACGAGCUGUGUUGGUGUUCAGCCGUCAUGGGCGUCUCCUGCAGACGUUUGGAGGCACAUUGACUGGUUCUGCCAAUGAAGAGUUGGAUGCUCCUAGAGGGGUGACUGUUACCCGUCAGGAUGAGUUCUUGGUCGCUGACCUCAAGCGUGGCACCCUGACGUCCUUAAAGCUGGACCCCAAAACAGGGGCCAGAUUGGAGCGGACAGUGGUGACCGGGUACCACAGACCCUACCUGGUGGCAGCCUGUCUCACCACUGGGCUCAUGGCAGUAUCUGAACGAGGAAAUGAGACUGGGCGUGUCCCAUGCAUUCGAGUCCUGGAGCCUGGCUGGAACACUAUCCGAAUCCUUGGGGUGUGCUCUGGCCUGGGGCCUGUUCUGACCUGCCCUUGGGGCCUCUGCAUCGACAGCGAUGGGGAUGUCCUGGUGGCAGACUGGGGCAAGCAGCGCCACAGUGUUUUUUUUUACCCGUCCAAAGGAGUUGGCUGGCCUCUGAUAACCGAUAACCUGAGUAGUCCAAGGGGCCUGGCACUGGUCCCCGAUGGCCACAUGGUUGUGUCAGACAGCAUGAAUCAUUGUAUCAAGAUCUAUCGUUACAAAUAAACUACAGAGGAUGACUAAGGCACAGAUAGAUUGCUGUGAGAAACUGAGAGGGUUAAAUCUGUAAUAGCAGGCAAUAACCUUGGGUAUGUAUAAUUUGGGGUUCGGUUUAAUUUUAAAUGAUCAUGUCUGAUGAGAUUUCAAAAGGGAGAUAAAAAAGAAAGCCUUUUUCAUUAUGAUAAUCAGUAGAAGCAAGGCCAGCGUAGAAAAAAAUACAAAUGCAUGCUUUUGAAUUACUCUUGAGUGUUUCUAAUGUUUUUUUUUCUCAAUUAAUCUAUAGUACAGAAUGGUAGCCCAUAAUUCUGUAUGUCUGAAUGAUAUUGAAUACAAUUUUAAGAAGUAUGCUCAUAUUGUAAAACAUUUAAUGAAUCAAUAAUCAAGACCAACCAACUAUCAGUGCAAUCAGCAAGAUAAACACUUUAGUUGACUUAAGCUUGGGAGGGCUAAUGAUUUUUGUACUGUCAAUUUGUCUGAGUAAAAGGAAUUAAACUCUGAAUUACAUCUAAUUUUGCCUGAUUUUGUUGUUUCUGGGGCUACUGCCUGACCUUACCUUACCAUGCAGCCUCAAAAUCUGUACAUCAGCUUUUGGGUAUAUCUCUGGUGACAAAGUUUGCACAAAAACGUCAUCACCAAAUAAAAAAGGGAACAACCAAGGCUUACUGAUCCUGUUUUGAAGAACAUGUAAUUAUCACGCACAGUUAGAAAUGGUAAAAGGAUAAAACACACAUAAAAAGUAUAAAAGUGCAUGUUCAGCUCCUGCGCAGCUACGUCUCCGCUCCACUGUGAGACUGCACAUCAGACGACUUCAUCAGGACUGCACAGCAUGGAGCUCUUCACCAAAACUCUGUUUCUGUGUUUUGCACUUGCCCUCGCUAAUGGAGCACCUGCGCACCCACAAGAUGCAUCAGUAGACGGUGGAGUUGCUCUCCCAGACCGGUGUGAAGGUAUUGAGUUUGAUGCCAUCACUCCUGAUGAGAAAG